UAGGGCCUCACACAUGCUAUGCAAAUGCUCCACUAUUGGACUUCCCUCCCCCGCCUCCCCUGGGGGUUUUGAGACAGAGUCUCCUUCUGAACCUGAGGUUUGCACUCAUCAAACUGAGCAGCCUGUGAGCCCUGGGACCUGCCUGACUGCGCCUUCCUAGGCUGGGAUGACUUCUAUACUGGGCGUUUAUGUUUAUUUUACUUUUAUGUGUAUGGGUGUUUUACCUGCAUGUAUGUAUGUGUACCCACAUUUGUAUGGUGCCCACAGAGGUCAGAAGACGGCAUUGAAUGCUCUGGAACUGGAGUUCCAAAUGACUGUGAAUCACCUUAGGUAUGUUGGAAACCAAAUCUGGAUUUUCUGCAAGAUCAACAGGAACAGUGUUCGCCAGAACUGGUAUUGUGUGGCUGUGAUUCUUGAGGGUCAUGAGUUCAGAUCAUCCUCAGCUACAAAGGCCCCUCGCCGUUGCCUCCGUCUGUCACCGCGAGCAUCCAAGCGCAGAAAGGAAAUGCGAAGCGAGACAGCUGUACGGGAGGCUUCGCCUUCUAAAGAAGUUGACAGACAAAUGGCACAGGGGUCCCUGCUCUUGCCAGCUGAGGGCUUAGCUUCCAGAAAGCGCCCCUCUAGGGGAACAAGCGAGGCAGUGUGGAGCUGCUGAAAGGCCUCAUUGAGGCUACAGCCCGAGGCUCUUGUAGCUCAUUGUCUGGUAUGCGGCGCCCUUCCUAAACCGCUCUCCACAGUUCUGCACCCCCCCAACCCCCAAACCUCAGAAACCACCCCCUGCCCUCCGUUACACUUGGUGCUUCAAAUGAAAUUCUCAAAAGCCUCUCAAUCUCACUUUUGAGACUGACCUGGACCUGGACCUGGACCUGGAGCUUGUGAAUUUGCAUAAGCUGGGCUGCAAACUCCAGAGAUCUGCCAGUGUCUGCCUGCUUAGUCCUGGAAUUACAGACUUGCACAGGUGAGCCUAGAGUUUUGCCUGGGUUCUGGGGAUCGGAACUUGGAGAUCAACAUACUUGGAUGGAAGGCAUUUUACUAACUGAGCCAUCUCCUUAGCCCCUUUUCAGUGUUUUUGAGAUGUGGUCUUAUUACGUUGCCUAGACUGGUCUUAACUUGAUUUCUUCCUGCCUCAGUCUCCCAAAGAGUUUGUAUUGCAGGUCUAUCCUUCUAGGUCUGGCUAUCAUAAUUUAUUUAAAUUGGUCUCCAAACUGAUGGACAGUGGGGAUGUUUCUAAUUUUAGCAUUUGAAAAAUAUUUUAAAGAGAGAAAAGACACCAAUUAAAGAAAGGAGAACUCUAGGCAGUGAGGAGUGUUUAUACACAGAGAACCCUGGCAUUUCUGUGCUAAGGAGCCUCUCUCCACUUGCUCAAGCUACAGAGUGAGCAUUUUGUGGGGAGUGGGUGGGGGGGUGCAUACAAACUUUUGAGUCUAUGUGUAGAGCUGAGGUGUGACUUAGGAGCUGUGCAUUUCUCACAGGGAGAGAUUGAAGCUGGCCAUGUCAGCCACUCCAUCAAUCGAAGGCUGCCUAGGAGGCGAAGCUGGCUUAGAUGGGAAUACCACACAACCCUCAGCAGAAAUGCAUUCUUUCUUAUGCCUGACAUCACUGUGUCGGAUCCAGAGUUGACCUGUUAUCUCUGUUUCUGUAGGUAGGCUUACCAUAAAAAGAAACAUGAAGUAUGGGGCUGCAGAAAUAGCUCAGCACUGGCUGCUCUUCCAAAGGACCCAGGUUCAAAUCCCAGCACCCACAUGGCAUUCCUGACUGUCUAUAAUUCCAUCCCCAGGGAUCUGACCCCCUCGCACAGACAUAGAUGGAGGCAGAACACAACAUCGAUGUAAAUAAAAUAAAAUAAAAUAAAAACCCAUGAAGUAUUUAGAAAGCACACACAUACAUACAAAAUAGGUUUACUUAAGGCACAGACGAGAGCACAAGCCCUUUGUCUGAGGACAUCUCCCAGGAGUCUCUCUGUUUCAUCUAUGUACAUCAUGUCUUCUCCCUGCUGAUGAUGGGAGAAUUGGCUGUAGAUGCAGCCAGUUAGCAUUUGGGUAACCGUGGGUACCACCACCAAGUGAUGUCCAGUUGGCUCAAGUACUAGAGAGACUUAAUGAACCAAUGGAUGGGAAAGGACCUGUUUUAUUUUACUUUUUUUUUGGAACGCCUUGGCAGAAUGGAAUUUAGAAAGACAAGUGCUAUCGAAUCGGAGAUGGAGAUGAUGGAGCAAAUGUAUCAUGUUCUUUCCCAGAGAGCGGCUCCCGAGUCAGCCCUUGCUGAACAUCCCUGAAAAGGACCAUCCUUAGGGAGUUCGUAUCAUUAUUUCUUUUUCUUUUUCUUUUUCUUUUUUUUU
rnacentral:sRNA from 1 species